GUGGGGAAUCUUAGACAAUGGGCGCAAGCCUGAUCUAGCCAUGCCGCGUGAGCGAUGAAGGCCUUAGGGUUGUAAAGCUCUUUCGUGGGGGAAGAUAAUGACUGUAUCCCAAGAAGAAGCCCCGGCUAACUCCGUGCCAGCAGCCGCGGUAAUACGGAGGGGGCUAGCGUUGUUCGGAAUUACUGGGCGUAAAGCGCACGUAGGCGGACUGGAAAGUCAGGGGUGAAAUCCCGGGGCUCAACCCCGGAACUGCCUUUGAAACUCCCAGUCUUGAGUUCGAGAGAGGUGAGUGGAAUUCCGAGUGUAGAGGUGAAAUUCGUAGAUAUUCGGAGGAACACCAGUGGCGAAGGCGGCUCACUGGCUCGAUACUGACGCUGAGGUGCGAAAGCGUGGGGAGCAAACAGGAUUAGAAACCCUGGUAGUCC
rnacentral:rRNA from 1 species